rnacentral:rRNA from 1 species
AUUGAACGCUGGCGGCGGGCCUAACACAUGCAAGUCGAGCGGAGCGGCGGACGGGUGAGUAAUGCCUAGGAAUCUGCCUGGUAGCGGGGGAUAACGUACGGAAACGGGCACUAAUACCGCAUAAUAUCAGAUGAGCCUAGGUCGGAUUGGCUAGUUGGUGGGGUAAAGGCCGACCAAGGCGACGAUCCGUAACUGGUCUGAGAGGAUGAUCAGUCACACUGGAACUGAGACACGGUCCAGACUCCUACGGGAGGCAGCAGUGGGGAAUAUUGGGCAAUGGGCGAAAGCCUGAUCCAGCCAUGCCGCGUGUGUGAAGAAGGUCUGCGGAUUGUAAAGCACUGUAAUUUGGGAGGCGUUACCAACAGAAUAAGCACCGGCUAACUUCGUGCCAGCAGCCGCGGUAAUUC